CAGUAGCCACGGUAAUACGGAGGGAGCUAGCGUUGUUCGGAAUUACUGGGCGUAAAGCGCGCGUAGGCGGUUACUCAAGUCAGAGGUGAAAGCCCGGGGCUCAACCCCGGAACUGCCUUUGAAACUAGGUGACUAGAAUCUUGGAGAGGUCAGUGGAAUUCCGAGUGUAGAGGUGAAAUUCGUAGAUAUUCGGAAGAACACCAGUGGCGAAGGCGACUGACUGGACAAGUAUUGACGCUGAGGUGCGAAAGCGUGGGGAGCAAACAGGUUUAGAUACCCCUGUAGUCCCUGUCUCUUAUAC
rnacentral:rRNA from 1 species